rnacentral:rRNA from 1 species
AGAGAUUAAACUAAAGAGUUUGAUCCUGGCUCAGAUUGAACGCUGGCGGCAUGCCUUACACAUGCAAGUCGAACGGCAGCAUAGGAGCUUGCUCCUGAUGGCGAGUGGCGAACGGGUGAGUAAUAUAUCGGAACGUGCCCUAGAGUGGGGGAUAACUAGUCGAAAGACUAGCUAAUACCGCAUACGAUCUACGGAUGAAAGUGGGGGAUCGCAAGACCUCAUGCUCCUGGAGCGGCCGAUAUCUGAUUAGCUAGUUGGUGGGGUAAAAGCCUACCAAGGCAACGAUCAGUAGCUGGUCUGAGAGGACGACCAGCCACACUGGGACUGAGACACGGCCCAGACUCCUACGGGAGGCAGCAGUGGGGAAUUUUGGACAAUGGGGGCAACCCUGAUCCAGCAAUGCCGCGUGAGUGAAGAAGGCCUUCGGGUUGUAAAGCUCUUUUGUCAGGGAAGAAACGGUAGUAGCGAAUAACUACUACUAAUGACGGUACCUGAAGAAUAAGCACCGGCUAACUACGUGCCAGCAGCCGCGGUAAUACGUAGGGUGCAAGCGUUAAUCGGAAUUACUGGGCGUAAAGCG